rnacentral:lncRNA from 1 species
AAACUGGGUUUUGAAGGUAGGUCACCAGAUGAGUGAAGCAAAGAUGAGGAAGACGGUUGAAGGGCACACAUAAAACUAAAGAGCAGAGCGGGAGUAGAGUGGUGAAACUAAAUAACAGUGAAAGGAUCAGGCUAGUUGAACUGGAGACAGAAGUGAAGGAUUGGAGCCCUUUCCCCAGUUCUCCCCCGUUUUCUUAAAUGAAAGUUUUUAAAUGUUCUGAUUCAUGUAGGGGAGUGAGAAUAGGUCUGUGAGGAUAAAAACCUUCAUGGAACAUCUGCCUGUUUGCCACUGAAAGGAAGUUCACACUUUUAUUGGAAAGAAAAGCAAUGUCCUUAAUACUUGGAAAAGCUUGUGGAUUCAUGUCAGAAAGAAGAGUAAGGACUGUGAUGGGAACUUGGCCCAGGUGAGAAGCAGAAGCAAGAUAAGUUAUCCACUAAAACAUGAGCAGGUCCAGGCCAAAGCAGCCCGACUGUGAAGCCCUGUGAAGAGGAGUAUUCCUGGGUUAACUCAGCGGACAGUUGUUAUGCACUGCGUUUUUCUUUCUCUCCUCUACCAAGUCCCCACUCUGAGCUCCACUCAAAUGUGUUUCUAACCAAACUGUCCAAGUUGCAUGGGGCUGGGGGAUGGGAAAUUGACGGAAGAAAGAAAGGUGGAGAGGUUUAAUUAUUUACAAAAUUCUAAGCUCCUUAGCUUUCCAUUAAAAUCUUGUUGAAAAAAUUUGAUUUCAGGCCAGCCCCAGUGGCCUGGUGGUUAAGUUCAGCGUGCUCCACUGUGGCGGCCCAGAUUCAGUUCCCACGUGCAGACCUACACCACUUGUCAGCCAUGCUGUGGCCGUGAGCCACAUCCAAAAUAGAGGAAGAUUGGCAGCAGAUGUUAGCUCAGGGCGACUCUGCCUCAGAAAAGCAAAUAAUAAUUUGAUUUCAAUGUGGUUCGUUAGGCUUUUAGCAUUUGUUUUAUGAUCUUUGACUAUAUCAAGAAUGAUUUUUUUAAAUAUAAGAAAUUUAAAUCUUUGAGAAAGCAGCAUAUUAUUUAAAUUUUAAGUAAUUACUAUUUAGCAGUAUAGAAAAUGAUACAAAAUUUAGCCAAUUAAAACCACUGAUUUAUUUUUAUUUAUUUUAUUUUUCGGGUGGAAUUAACAAUUUUUUUAAUGAUUAUAAAACAUAAUGAUGCAUUUUAUGAUAGAAAAUUGGUAA